rnacentral:rRNA from 1 species
CGGACGGGUGAGUAAUGUCUGGGAAACUGCCCGAUGGAGGGGGAUAACUACUGGAAACGGUAGCUAAUACCGCAUAACGUCGCAAGACCAAAGAGGGGGACCUUCGGGCCUCUUGCCAUCGGAUGUGCCCAGAUGGGAUUAGCUAGUAGGUGGGGUAACGGCUCACCUAGGCGACGAUCCCUAGCUGGUCUGAGAGGAUGACCAGCCACACUGGAACUGAGACACGGCCCAG